GGGGGAUAUUGCGCAAUGGGGGCAACCCUGACGCAGCAACGCCGCGUGAAGGAUGAAGGUUUUCGGAUUGUAAACUUCUUUUAUUAAGGACGAAACUUGACGGUACUUAAUGAAUAAGCUCCGGCUAACUACGUGCCAGCAGCCGCGGUAAUACGUAGGGAGCAAGCGUUGUCCGGAUUUACUGGGUGUAAAGGGUGCGUAGGCGGCUUUGCAAGUCAGAUGUGAAAUCUAUGGGCUCAACCCAUAAACUGCAUUUGAAACUGUAGAGCUUGAGUGAAGUAGAGGCAGGCGGAAUUCCCCGUGUAGCGGUGAAAUGCGUAGAGAUGGGGAGGAACACCAGUGGCGAAGGCGGCCUGCUGGGCUUUAACUGACGCUGAGGCACGAAAGCGUGGGUAGCAAACAGGAUUAGAUACCCUGGUAGUCCACGCUGUAAACGAUGAUUACUAGGUGUGGGGGGUCUGACCCCUUCCGUGCCGGAGUUAACACAAUAAGUAAUCCACCUGGGGAGUACGGCCGCAAGGUUGAAACUCAAAGGAAUUGACGGGGGCCCGCACAAGCAGUGGAGUAUGUGGUUUAAUUCGACGCAACGCGAAGAACCUUACCAAGUCUUGACAUCCAACUAACGAAGUAGAGAUACAUUAGGUGCCCUUCGGGGAAAGUUGAGACAGGUGGUGCAUGGUUGUCGUCAGCUCGUGUCGUGAGAUGUUGGGUUAAGUCCCGCAACGAGCGCAACCCUUGCUAUUAGUUGCUACGCAAGAGCACUCUAAUAGGACUGCCGUUGACAAAACGGAGGAAGGUGGGGACGACGUCAAAUCAUCAUGCCCCUUAUGACCUGGGCUACACACGUACUACAAUGGAUGUUAACAGAGGGAAGCAAGACAGCGAUGUGGAGCAAACCCCUAAAAACAUUCUCAGUUCAGAUUGCAGGCUGCAACCCGCCUGCAUGAAGAUGGAAUUGCUAGUAAUCGCGGAUCAGCAUGCCGCGGUGAAUACGUUCCCG
rnacentral:rRNA from 1 species